CAAUAGCGUAUAUUAACGUUGUUGCAGUUAAAAAGCUCGUAGUUGGAUUUCUGGAGGGAGCGUCGGCCCGUAUUUACGAGUGCGUGACGUCUCUGUCCAUCCUUGCGGGAAGGCACGGCAUUGAUUUGUUGUGUCGGAUCGCAUCAUUUACUGUGAAAAAAUUAGAGUGUUCAAAGCAGGCUUUCGCUUGAAUACAUUAGCAUGGAAUAAUAAGAUAGGACUUUGGUGCUAUUUUGUUGGUUGAGCCUAAAGUAAUGAUUAAUAGGGAUAGUUGGGGGCACCUGUAUUGCGUAGUCAGAGGUGAAAUUCUUGGAUUUACGCAAGACAAACAGCUGCGAAAGCGUCUGCCAAGGAUGUUUUCAUUAA
rnacentral:rRNA from 1 species